rnacentral:rRNA from 1 species
AGAGUUUGAUCAUGGCUCAGGAUGAACGCUAGCGGCAGGCCUAAUACAUGCAAGACGAACGGUAAGUUGAGUAGCAAUACUUAGCCAAGAGUGUCGUACGGGUGCGUAACACGUAUGCAACCUACCCUAUACAGGAGGAUAGCCUAGGGAAACCUGGAUUAACCCUUCAUAGUAUUAUUGGAUGGCAUCAUUUGAUAAUUAAAACUGAGGUGGUAUAGGAUGGGCAUGCGGCUGAUUAGGUAGUUGGCGGGGUAACGGCCCACCAAGCCUUCGAUCAGUAGCUGAUGUGAGAGCAUGAUCAGCCACACGGGCACUGAGACACGGGCCCGACUCCUACGGGAGGCAGCAGUAAGGAAUAUUGGUCAAUGGACGCAAGUCUGAACCAGCCAUGCCGCGUGGAGGAUGAAGGCCCUCUGGGUUGUAAACUUCUUUUCUUUGGGACGAAACCCCUGUUUCUACGGGGACUGACGGUACCAGAGGAAUAAGCACCGGCUAACUCCGUG